rnacentral:lncRNA from 1 species
UUCUAAGUUCUUAUCAAUGGUUGAAGAAAAAGGAAAAUGAUUCCAAUUUCGCGUCUUAAAUGAAAUGAGCAGACUAUAAUCGACAGUAUUCUAUGAGAUCCGAUAGUAUAGUAUGAUAAGAAAGAAAGAUUCAUAUUUUUCUUUCUUUCUUACCAUACUAUAAUAGUAGUGUUAUUGUAGUGUAUAAAGUUGUACUUUAUAAUAAAGACAGAGGCUUAGUGUUGAUCAAUCUACAAUAUUAUCUUGAUAUAUGUAGAUAUCAAGAUAAUAUAUGGAAUUUACAUAGGACCCUUUCUAUUUUUUUGAUACACCUAUUUGUUCCGAAUCAAUCUGAAAUAAUUAUCUUGUCUUACUUUAUAGUUCUAAUUUUUAGAUUUAGAUUUCUUAUUAUUUGCAAUCUGAGUCUCGUGAUCUAUCGAAAGAAUCAAAUCAACGAAAGAAAAAGGAUUAUUCUGGGCAUAUUUUAAUAAAAUAAAGUAAGAAUCUUUUUUCUAGCAUUCCGAAGAAAAAAUGGAUUGAUUCAUUGACAGGAGUUCUAUGAGCACUUCUUUAGAUUUCGAAAGGGAAUAAAAAAUAAACCUCACAGAUUUUUAAUGCUUGAACCUUGAUAUGAAAUGAGUCGAUAAAGUAGAAAUUAAAUUUCGAAAAUAAUAAAACAAGUGGUAAGUGCGCAAAAUGUGACUCGCCUAAGGCAAAAUUUUAUUAUGCAUAGUAUCUCGUUAGACAACCACUAUGUCUAUAUUUUUUUCUCAUAUAAAGUGCGUAUAUACUACAAAACGC